rnacentral:rRNA from 1 species
CGUGCCAGCAGCCGCGGUAAUACGUAGGGUGCAAGCGUUAUCCGGAAUUAUUGGGCGUAAAGGGCUCGUAGGCGGUUCGUCGCGUCCGGUGUGAAAGUCCAUCGCUUAACGGUGGAUCCGCGCCGGGUACGGGCGGGCUUGAGUGCGGUAGGGGAGACUGGAAUUCCCGGUGUAACGGUGGAAUGUGUAGAUAUCGGGAAGAACACCAAUGGCGAAGGCAGGUCUCUGGGCCGUCACUGACGCUGAGGAGCGAAAGCGUGGGGAGCGAACAGGAUUAGAUACCCUGGUAGUCCACGCCGUAAACGGUGGAUGCUGGAUGUGGGGACCAUUCCACGGUCUCCGUGUCGGAGCCAACGCGUUAAGCAUCCCGCCUGGGGAGUACGGCCGCAAGGCUAAAACUCAAAGAAAUUGACGGGGGCCCGCACAAGCGGCGGAGCAUGCGGAUUAAUUCGAUGCAACGCGAAGAACCUUACCUGGGCUUGACAUGUUCCCGACAGCCCCAGAGAUGGGGCCUCCCUUCGGGGCGGGUUCACAGGUGGUGCAUGGUCGUCGUCAGCUCGUGUCGUGAGAUGUUGGGUUAAGUCCCGCAACGAGCGCAACCCUCGCCCUGUGUUGCCAGCACGUCGUGGUGGGAACUCACGGGGGACCGCCGGGGUCAACUCGGAGGAAGGUGGGGAUGACGUCAGAUCAUCAUGCCCCUUACGUCCAGGGCUUCACGCAUGCUACAAUGGCCGGUACAACGGGAUGCGACCUCGUGAGGGGGAGCGGAUCCCUUAAAACCGGUCUCAGUUCGGAUUGGAGUCUGCAACCCGACUCCAUGAAGGCGGAGUCGCUAGUAAUCGCGGAUCAGCAACGCCGCGGUGAAUGCGUUCCCGGGCCUUGUACACACCGCCCGUCAAGUCAUGAAAGUGGGUAGCACCCGAAGCCGGUGGCCCAACCUUUUGGGGGGAGCCGUCUAAGGUGAGACUCGUGAUUGGGACUAAGUCGUAACAAGGUAGCCGUACCGGAAGGUGCGGCUG